UGUGGAGAGCUUGAGGGAGGAUAUUCUAGCUGGGAAGCUCAAAUCGGGUAGCGAAAUAAAGGUGUUUAGAACUAUAAUGCUUGAUUGAGUACAGAGGAUUUUAGCAUCGACAAACUGAUAUUUGCCUCAAUUAAGAGCUUCAGUUUUUAUUAUUUGUCGUAUGCAUUUGGGUUGUACUCUCUGUAGGAUGCUUUGAAGAGGAGUGUACUUGAAUUGCUAAUUAAGAAAGGGAAUAAGGCUGAUCUUCAGCUUGGAUUCAGGAAACCGGCUGUUAUUAUGAUAGUUGGUGUCAAUGGAGGUGGGAAGACAACG
rnacentral:misc_RNA from 1 species